rnacentral:tRNA from 1 species
UCUUUCGUAGUAUAGUGGUCAGUAUGCAAGCUUGUCACGCUUGAGACCCGGGUUCAAUUCCCGGCGGGAGAG